rnacentral:rRNA from 1 species
UACGUAGGGGGCGAGCGUUGUCCGGAGUUACUGGGCGUAAAGCGCACGCAGGCGGUCUGCUAAGUUUGGAGUGACAGUUGGUGGCUUAACUGCCAAAGUGCUUCGAAAACUGACAGACUUGAGGGCUUCAGAGGGACACGGAAUUCCGGGUGGAGUGGUGAAAUGCGUAGAGAUCCGGAGGAACACUAAAGGCGAAGGCAGUGUCCCUGGGGGAGUACCUGACGCUCAGGUGCGAAAGCCAGGGGGAGCGAAACGGG